UUUCUUGAAUAUUUUUUAUACACCUUUUUCCUAUUUAACCAGAUGACAAAGAAGGAUGGUGUAAAACCAAGUCGUAUUGAAGUAUUCACAAGAACAUAUAUGAGAAAGAAUGAACAACCAAUAAAUGAGAUAGCUGGUGAAGUAAUGCAUUUUGAAGGAGAAUUACUGGCAAUAAACCUUGACUAAUGGAGAGGUGGUUUCAAAAAGCUUUGUUGCAGGAUUUAGUCUAGAAGUGAAGAGAAUUCAUUCGAAAGUGAUAAUAACGUAGUUACAUGUUGAAAUUACUGUCUUUUAUGAUUUAGUUGGAUUUGAAUUUUACUUAGAGAAUAAAUCAUUUGAUUUGGCAUCAUCUAUUUGUACAAAAUACUUUUUAGAUUGCUAAUUUAUUUUUUAAGUAUUAAAA